rnacentral:misc_RNA from 1 species
UUUCCGUAGGUGAACCUGCGGAAGGAUCAUUAAUAAAUGGUCUACGUUUUUUAAGUAGACGCUUAAUAAUCUACCUUGUGAUUUGUUGUUUGAAAUAAUUUUUUUUAAAAUUUGAUUGUCUUCCUGUUGAAUGGUUGUCUUAAUGGCAAAUGAUCGCAGGGAGUGUCAGUAAUUUUUAAAAAGACUUUUUUAAAAUUAAACUUUUGUAUUCAUUUGUCUAAAAUUAUUUUAUAAUAUAAAAACAACUUUUGACAAUGGAUCUCUUGGUUCUCGCAACGAUGAAGAACGCAGCAAAAUGCGAUAAGUAGAGUGAAUUGCAGAAUACGUGAAUCAUCGAAUCUUCGAACGCAUAUUGCACUUUUCAGUUUACUAAAAAGUAUGUCUGUUUGAGUAUCAGUAAAAUAUUCUCAUAAAACUUUUUGUUUUUAUGUUAUGAGUGUUUACAACGAUACAAGUUGUUCACUUUAAAUUUUUUUAAAAUUUGAAUUUUCUAAUUUUAAAUAAAUUGGAUAAAAUUUCCCGUAAAAAGGAAUACCUAAACAAUUUAAUUUUGAUUAGAAUUCUUCAAUUAUAAGGAAAAUUUAACUAAUAACUUGAUCUCAAAUCAAUAAGAGUACCGCUGAACUUAAGCAUAUCAAUAAGCGGAGGAAAAGAAACUAACAGGAUUCCCUUAGUAACGGCGAGUGAAGCGGAAGAGCUCAAAUUUGAAAUCUUCAAGUUUACCUUGACGAAUUGUAGUUUAAAGAAGUGUUUCUGUUGAAGUUUGGUAAAGUUCUUUGGAAUAGGACAUCAUAGAGGGUGAGAAUCCCGUAUUGACCAUUAUUUCAGCUGUGUGAUACACUUUCAAAGAGUCGGAUGUUUGGAAUGCAGUCCAAAUGGGUGUAAAUUUCAUCUAAAGCUAAAUAUGGCGAGAGACGAUAGCGAACAAGUACCGUGAGGGAAAGAUGAAAGAACUUUGAAAAGAGAGUUAAACAGUACGUGAAAUUGUCAAAAGGAAGCGUUUGACACCAGUGUUGUUUCUCGAAAAUCAAUUAAAAAAGUUGAUUUGUGUUGUAUUGACCUUAACAGCUUGCUUCACUCUUUUCUUGCUUUUUUAAUGCACUUUUCGUUUAACAAGUCAACAUCAGUUUCUUUUGUUGCAAAAGGUCAUUGGAAGGUGCUUUCUCUUCGGAGAAUGUUUAUAGCUUUGAUCUCUGCAAUCGGAGAGACUGAGGUCUGCAGCGUAGAUCUUCGGGUUAGAUACAUUUGUGCUAAGCUACAGCUUUCAUAGACAACUUGUUGACUAUGUUUAGUCUUGUAACUUACCCGCUUAUGCUAUU